GGGUGAGACCUGCUGUACCCGGCUGGCGUAAGUAUCUCACCGUCUUUCACAGACACACCUUUUCUCCUCCUUCUUUUCCUCAGCUUUCUCACCCAUCUUUUGUCAGGUUUAAGGACAGAUUGCAUCCUGCAGUAUUGUGCAUGGAAGAAUUGCCUCAGAUUGCUUAUAUACUUUACUGAUCUCACAAGUCUGUUAGACUACAGUAGCACAAAGCUGUCAAUAUAUUCCACAUGGAUAAAGUUCUGUUAGAGUAAAAUUGGAUCGAUCUGAAGGGGAACUAAUCAGAGCUGCUCCUGGAAGUGUUUUUUUUUUUUUUUUUUUUUUAAACUUGCUAGUUUAUUAGUAGUGCUGUGCCAACUGCCCUUUUUUCCACUUUCUUUUGGCAAACUGUUGCUAAGCAAGCAAAUUGAGGGAGCAAAAACUAGUUGCUAGAUCGCAGUUCCAGUUAAAAAAUUAUUUUAAUCUCGUUUUAUGGUUGUUUUCCUCAUAUCACAAUUAUAAAUGUGCUAUUGCUAUCAGUUUGCGAACUAGAGGUUUAUCAUUUGAACACAGUUUUUAAGUUUAUCUAGUUGGGUAGUGAGUGCACACAACUGCUACACAUGGUACAAGGACAAAGCCAAUCAUUGCUUGGGAGCUAAUGAAUUUUGAAAAGCAAGACAUCCUAACUACAUCUAAUAGUAUUCCGUCUUUAUUUUUUCUUUCCUCUCUCUCUGAGUUUCCGUUCUCUCCCUCUCUACCCACUUUUCUGUGUUAGCUGUUGAAGUGCUUUCUUCCGCCCCUGUGGGAGCUCACAAACAGCUGACUCAUUCAUUCCCGCUUCGCGCUCUGCUUUCAUUUUUUACAUUAUUCAAACAAAUGUGUUGCUUUCUUUCUUAGACACAAGACAGCACAGGGGCCGCGACCCCAGCGGACUUAUUUCAGUACACACAUGCAAACACACCUGCAUAAAAAACUUGCUCACGAGCAGAAAUGCAUUACACAGAAACUUUAAUCUUAAAUUUAAACUGAUUCACUCUCAACCGCAGGAGCGAUAAGGCUAGUUGGCACACGUGGAUGGCACGCUGUUGUUUAUCUGUAGUCUCACUGUCCAUCUGUUAUUUCA
ensembl:lncRNA